GACAAGUUUAUAAUUUUAUGUACUAUGUAAAGGCUGUGUAAUGUGUUUGAUGGGCGCGCGCGUUGAACAUUCGAGGCGCAUUUAAACUGUGGAGGGAGUUACCAUGGAAACGGGGCGGCAACACAGCUGAGAAGUAGCAAAUCUCUCCGUCUCUCACUGUUGUUUUUACUGCUUUCAGAAAUGGUUCAGUGUCAUGGGAAUAAGUCCGUUAGCAUCACAAACCGUGAGCUAACAGAGGCUAACUAUAAGAGCAGAGUUGGAGCGGACCUCUUGUUGAAGAACUUCUCCAGGCACUAUGAACCAUAUGACUAAUGCUGUCAUGAAAAGGCAACUGGUGGACACCUGGGACAGGCCAUCAAUUCCAAGUUGGCGGAACUGAGGUUUCAACUGAAGAAAAAGGAGAGCCUGUUAGAGUUUAGAGUUGUCUAAUAGAGAGGGUGAAGGA